AUUGAACGCUGGCGGCAGGCCUAACACAUGCAAGUCGAACGCGUGGCGCGCGGGUGCGUAAAGUCUGGGAGACAGCCCGCUGGAGGGGGAUAACUCCUGGGAAAAGUAGCUAUUACCGCAUACCAUCGGAUGUGCCCCGAGGGGAUUAGCUCGUUGGUGGGGUACAGGGUCACCAAGGCGACGAUCCCUAGCUGGUCUGAGAGGAUGACCAGCCACACUGGAACUGAGACACGGUCCAGACUCCUACGGGAGGCAGCAGUGGGGAAUAUUGGACAAUGGGCGCAAGCCUGAUGCAGCCAUGCCGCGUGUAUGAAGAAGGCCUUCGGGUUGUAAAGUACUUUCAGCGGGGAGGCGUUACCCGCAGAAGAAGCACCGGCUAACUCCGUGCCAGCAGCCGCGGUAAUUC
rnacentral:rRNA from 1 species